CACUAUAGCCAUACUCAACUGAACGCAUCUCAGAAAAGUCUAAUCUUGAAAGCUAAACUGUCCCAGGCCUAGAUGGUACUUGGAGGAGAGACCACCUCCGAAUCCCAAGUACUACAGGUA
rnacentral:rRNA from 1 species